UACGGAAUGUGCAAACGUUAUUCGGAAUCACUGGGCUUAAAGAGUCCGUAGGCGGCUUGUUAGGUGAGGUGUGAAAUCCCUCGGCUCAACCGAGGAAUUGCGCUUCAAACCGGCAAGCUAGAGGAGGAUAGAGGUGGGCGGAACUGAUGGUGGAGCGGUGAAAUGCGUUGAUAUCACCAGGAACACCGGAGGCGAAGGCGGUCCACUGGGUCCUUUCUGACGCUGAGGGACGAAAGCUAGGGGAGCGAACGGG
rnacentral:rRNA from 1 species